rnacentral:rRNA from 1 species
UGGGGAAUUUUGGACAAUGGGCGAAAGUCUGAUCCAGCCAUGCCGCGUGAGUGAAGAAGGCCUUCGGGUUGUAAAGCUCUUUUAGUCGGAAAGAAAGAGUUGCAAUGAAUAAUUGUGAUUUAUGACGGUACCGACAGAAAAAGCACCGGCUAACUACGUGCCAGCAGCCGCGGUAAUACGUAGGGUGCGAGCGUUAAUCGGAAUUACUGGGCGUAAAGGGUGCGCAGGCGGUCUUGCAAGUCAGAUGUGAAAGCCCCGGGCUUAACCUGGGAAUUGCGUUUGAAACUACAAGGCUAGAGUGCAGCAGAGGGGAGUGGAAUUCCAUGUGUAGCAGUGAAAUGCGUAGAGAUGUGGAAGAACACCGAUGGCGAAGGCAGCUCCCUGGGUUGACACUGACGCUCAUGCACGAAAGCGUGGGGAGCAAACA